rnacentral:tRNA from 1 species
GGAUUGUAGCUCAGGGGUUAGAGCAAUGCGACUGAGACGCAGGCCGGUUGUCGCAUAGGUCGGCCGUUCGAAUCGGCCCAAUCCGCCA